UAGGGAAUCUUCGNNAAUGGACGGAAGNCUGACCGAGCAACGCNNNGUGAGUGAAGAAGGUUUUCGGAUCGUAAAGCUCUGUUGUAAGAGAAGAACGAGUGUGAGAGUGGAAAGUUCACACUGUGACGGUAUCUUACCAGAAAGGGACGGCUAACUACGUGCCAGCAGCCGCGGUAAUACGUAGGUCCCGAGCGUUGUCCGGAUUUAUUGGGCGUAAAGCGAGCGCAGGCGGUUAGAUAAGUCUGAAGUUAAAGGCUGUGGCUUAACCAUAGUACGCUUUGGAAACUGUUUAACUUGAGUGCAAGAGGGGAGAGUGGAAUUCCAUGUGUAGCGGUGAAAUGCGUAGAUAUAUGGAGGAACACCGGUGGCGAAAGCGGCUCUCUGGCUUGUAACUGACGCUGAGGCUCGAAAGCGUGGGGAGCAAACAGGAUUAGAUACCCUGGUAGUCCACGCCGUAAACGAUGAGUGCUAGGUGUUAGACCCUUUCCGGGGUUUAGUGCCGCAGCUAACGCAUUAAGCACUCCGCCUGGGGAGUACGACCGNNNNNG
rnacentral:rRNA from 1 species